CCUACGGGGGGCAGCAGUGAGGAAUAUUGGUCAAUGGGCGGGAGCCUGAACCAGCCAAGCCGCGUGAGGGAAGAAGGUACUGUGGAUCGUAAACCUCUUUUGUCAGGGAACAAAGGCGGGGACGUGUCCCCGGCUGCGGGUACCUGAAGAAAAAGCAUCGGCUAACUCCGUGCCAGCAGCCGCGGUAAUACGGAGGAUGCGAGCGUUAUCCGGAUUUAUUGGGUUUAAAGGGUGCGCAGGCGGCCUGUUAAGUCAGCGGUAAAAGCCCGGGGCUCAACCCCGGCGAGCCGUUGAAACUGGCGGGCUUGAGUUGGAGAGAAGUACGCGGAAUGCGCGGUGUAGCGGUGAAAUGCUUAGAUAUCGCGCAGAACCCCGAUUGCGAAGGCAGCGUACCGGCGCCACACUGACGCUGAGGCACGAAAGCGUGGGGAUCGAACAGGAUUAGAUACCCUAGUAGUC
rnacentral:rRNA from 1 species